rnacentral:lncRNA from 1 species
UUUUAAAUGAAGAAUGGUGUAUAUGAACUGAGUCUGUCUGCAUGAUGCAGCUCUGAUUUCUUGGUACGUUCAUUUAAGUAGCUUCCCAUAUUCAGUGUCCUUGUUCCCAUUCACAGAAAAUACAUCCUGUACUGGCUAGUUUUGUGUCAACUUGACACAGCUGGAGUUAUCACAGAGAAAGGAGCUUCAGUUGAGGAAAUGCCUCUAUGAGGUCCAACUGUAAGGCAUUUUCUCAAUUAGUGAUCAAGGGGGAAAGGCCCCUUGUGGGUGGGACCAUCUCUGGGCUGGUAGUCUUGGUUCUAUAAGAGAGCAGGCUGAGCAAGCCAGGGGAGGCAAGCCAGUAAAGAACAUCCCUCCAUAGCCUCUGCAUCAGCUCCUGCUUCCUGACCUGUUUGAGUUCCAGUCCUGACUUCUUUCAGUGAUGAACAGCAAUGUGGAAAUGUAAGCUGAAUAAACCCUUUCCUCCCCAACUUGCUUCUUGGUCAUGUUGUUUGUUCAGGAAUAGAAACCCUAACUAAGACACAUCCCUAAGCAGAAACUACUGCGGUAAGUAGUUCAACUCUGCCUGUCCUUGAACUUCAGUGAGAUCCACUCACACAGUGUGUUCUCUGUGCUGGUGGCACUGUAGUUCCUUUCCUCUUACUUCACUGACACUUACUCUGUGUGGCUGAGUUAGCACUUCACUUCUUUUUUCUCCACCAAAAUUGUUGAGUUAUAAGGUAGAUAUACAUUUAAUUGGAUAUUAGCAAUCAAGUUCUUCUUUCAAAUUAGCCGGAACAAAUUGUGUUCCUACCAGCACAUUGCAAAAGCUCCCAUCUUUGCAUACACCAAUGUUUGGGUUCUGGGGUUUUAACAUCAGCUACGCUGGUUGGCAUGUGCUAUUAUUAAUCCAUGCAGUUUAAUUUUGAAUGUGUGUAACUGGUUAAGGUUUUGGAACUGCUGCAGAUUCUGAUCUACUGCAUCCACCCAUGUGACUUUCAAAAGCCUCACGGGGUUACCAUCCUCCAAUUAGUCCUAUCUUUUACUCAUCUCCAACCCAGAACCAGCAAAUUGUCACCUAAACAAAGAACAAGCUAUAUGCGCAUGUACUAAAAGCAAAAACCCGCCAAAAGUCACCAGCCCAUUUCUGGGGCACUGGUCCAUCCCCCAGGGCACUAGCCCAACCCCUGGGGCGUUUAGCCUAUCCCUAGGGUGCAUGAGAUUCGUGGGUGUAGCUACCAGUCCUAGUUUAGACAUGUCACCAAAAAGUAUUUAAGCCACACACUUUCUGAGCCUUCUUUGUCUACCUCAAUAUGUUAUGAAGUAAAGUUAACCACGAAAGAAUCUGGCGUGUCCUGUGUCUGUUUCUGCUGGCGGGAACAGGCUCAGGAUACUUGGUGCUCGAAACCCGGGGAAAAAACGCCUUAACAACGUGCAGCACCAGGGAGGAGACCCUCAGACCAACCGGAGCAGGUUCAGAACCAUGGUGGAUUCAGCUCCGAGAGAAUACUGAUACGGGUGAAGAAAAUCUACUUUGGGUCCCAAUGCGACUGAAAAGGACUGUGAAAGAACAAUAUGAACCCCAAGAUGAUUCUCUUACUCCUGAUGAUUGAGACCGGGAUAAGUAUACCCUUGUAGGCCAAAGUAAGAUCAUGGCCAGUACCUUUACCGGUACAGUCCAAUUUGUCUACCUAGCCUUUAUUUUUUGCAAAGGAAUGUUUUUUAGAUGUGCCUUAUACACAACAAACUCCUCAAGAGCCAUAGAUGUAUAAGAGUACUAGUUUUCAUUUAAAUUAUACAUUAUGCUUUGUGCAUAAUGUGGAUAAACUUUUUAUACCCUAUAUAUUUUUAAAGAAAAAGAUUAUCGCUAAUUGGGCAGAUCCCAUUAUCCAAAAUAAAGUGAGCUCUAGAGUGUUAUUUAAUGCUUUAAUACAAAUUGCUCAAGGGCCACAACCAAGAUCAGUGAUGUUGAAAAUAAUGUAACUUCAUAUAUAAACAUCACCACUAUCAGGAUAAAGAGAAAUGUGACUAUUCCCAAAAGAUCACGAUAGCCUGUUGGCAAUGCUACUGCUAUAUGCAGCAUGUCUUGGUCAUUCAGACCUCGAAUUUCCUAUAGUUUUUUCACCUUGUCAAUCAAAUGUUUUUCCUCGAAAAGAAUUAGGAAAGGGUUUCGUUUUGUCAUCACCAUUAGAUUAUGCUGUUAUGUAUGGUAAAGGAGAUGCUACAGAGAAAGAAAAUAUUUGGCCAUAUUACCGAUAGAUUUUAAGUAAUGAGGCAGAUGCUAGUACCAGUUUGUCAACCUUUGCACUGUUGACUAGAACCUUUGAUGAGAUAUUUAAUGUUUCUGCCACACUUUCCAAUAUCUCUACUCAUUUGAAUAAUGUGACAUCUAAUAGAGUUAUCGAAAAUAUGACUACUCCUCCAAUAGAAGUUUGUUUCAAUUUUCCACGUUUCUUUAUAUUGGCUGAAUUUCAAUAUAAUACAGAAUGGUUAGAUUCUACAAAUGUCACUUGUUUUUUGAUACAAUGCUGAAAUGAAAUUAAUUUCUUAGCCUUAGUGGUACAUUUACCAACCUUUGUCCCUGUGCCUGUUGAGGCAGAUCCAAAGAAGUUCCCAAUCAUGAGUCUUGUCCGGCAGAAGAGAGAUUUUGGAAUCACAGCCGCCACUGUUACUGCCAUUGCAGUGUCCGCAGCAUCCGCGGUUACUACAGAAAUUGCUAUGGCCUAUCAAGUCAAUAUUGCUGAUACUAUAAGUCAGAUAACAGAAAAAAACGUCUGAGGCAUUGCUUACCCUGCAAAGGGUGGAUUCUCAUAUUGCCUCAGGAUCAUACAAAUGAGUUGUGUGGCAUCAACUUUACAGAUGUGCAUUACUCCUGUUGUGUAUACUAAUUAUUCUUUUAUUAAAAGUACAGGUCUAUCGAAUUAUCUGAAAGGGGAACUGGUCGCAGAAGCUGGAAAGGUUGCAGACGAAGCUACAGAUACAGAUCCUGAACCUUAUUGGAACCAGAGUGGAACCAGUGACCCUUGGAGACUUCACCUCUUGACUUACCUCUGCAUUUUUCUCACUUCAAAGAAUGGGUGGGGGUGGCUCUGUUUAGCGCAGCCCUGUGUUGUGGAUUAGUGCUUAUACUAUGACUGGUUUGCAAACUCAGAUCUCAGCAGAAACGUGACAAGGUGGUAAUUGCUCAAGCACUUGCUGCCAUAGAGCAAGGCACCUCCCCUGAAAUUUGGCUAUCUAUUCUCAAGAAUUAGUUGGCAUUUGAGUUCUCUGCCUUUGCAUUCCACGAAUUUGUGGAUACAUUGCAUUGAGAUGAGAGAAACUCAACGAUCAUUGAUCAACCCGUGUGCAUUGCUGAGGUUUCCUCAUUGCAUGUGAUAGAAUGACCAUGAUUUCCCCACUAAUUUAUUUUUGGCUGGCCUCUUCUGUAGAGUUCACCCUAGGCCAUUUAGCAGUUGUAGUCACACAGCACUGUGGUAUCCAGAGACGGGCAACUUUCCUCGUGCACAGACCAACCUAAGACAAUGGGGCCCGGUGGUGAUAGGGUUACCCGAUAACGGGUAAGGCUGUGACAUUGGAGGAACGACCUAAAACAGGGGCCACAGCAGAUGGACGUAACUACAGAGGCCUAGACCAGCCUCAUUUUUAUUAAAACAUAAAGGGGGAGAUGUGGAGAGCCGCAAUAACAUUUACCAUCUUAAGAUGGCGCUGGCUCCGCAGUGCCUUAUGCCACCUAAACAAAGAACAAGCUAUAUGUGCAUCUGCUAAAAGCAAAAACCCACCAAAAGUCACCAGCCCAUUUCCAGGGCACCGGUCCAUCCCCCAGGGCACUAGCCCAACCCCUGGGGCGUUUAGCCUAUCCCUAGGGUGCAUGAGAUUUGUGGGUGUAGCUACCAGUCCUAGUUUAGACACGUCACCAAAAAGUAUUUAAGCCACACACUUUCUGAGCCUUCUUUGUCUACCUCAAUAUGUUAUGAAGUAAAGUUAACCAUGAAAGA